CCUACGGGUGGCAGCAGUGAGGAAUAUUGGUCAAUGGACGAGAGUCUGAACCAGCCAAGUAGCGUGAAGGAUGACUGCCCUAUGGGUUGUAAACUUCGUUUAUAUGGGAAUAAAAUGUUCCACGUGUGGGAUUUUGUAUGUACCAUAUGAAUAAGGAUCGGCUAACUCCGGGCCAGCAGCCGCGGUAAUACGGAGGAUCCGAGCGUUAUCCGGAUUUAUUGGGUUUAAAGGGAGCGUAGGUGGAUUGUUAAGUCAGUUGUGAAAGUUUGCGGCUCAACCGUAAUAUUGCAGUUGAAACUGGCAGUCUUGAGUACAGUAGAGGUGAGCGGAAUUCGUGGUGUAGCGGUGAAAUGCUUAGAUAUCACGAAGAACCCCGAUUGCGAAGGCAGCUUACUAAACUGUGACUGACAUUGAUGCUCGAAAGUGUGGGUAUCAAACAGGAUUAGAUACCCUAGUAGUC
rnacentral:rRNA from 1 species